rnacentral:rRNA from 1 species
UACGUAGGGGGCAAGCGUUGUUCGGAUUUAUUGGGCGUAAAGAGCGCGUAGGCGGCUUUACAGGUCCGUUGUGAAAACUCGAGGCUCAACCUCGAGACGCCGGUGGAAACCGUAAAGCUAGAGUCCGGAAGAGGAGAAUGGAAUUCCUGGUGUAGCGGUGAAAUGCGCUGAUAUCAGGAGGAACACCCGUGGCGAAAGCGGCUCUCUGGGACGGUACUGACGCUGAGGCGCGAAAGCGUGGGGAGCAAACAGG